rnacentral:rRNA from 1 species
UACGAAGGGGGGCUAGCGUUGCUCGGAAUUACUGGGCGUAAAGCGCACGUAGGCGGAUUGUUAAGUCGGGGGUGAAAUCCUGGAGUUCAACUCCAGAACUGCCUUCGAUACUGGCGAUCUCGAGUUCGGGAGAGGUGAGUGGAACUGCGAGUGUAGAGGUGAAAUUCGUAGAUAUUCGCAAGAACACCAGUGGCGAAGGCGGCUCACUGGCCCGAUACUGACGCUGAGGUGCGAAAGCGUGGGGAGCAAACAGG